rnacentral:rRNA from 1 species
GGGAGGUAGUGACAAGAAAUAACAAUACAGGGCUUUCGUCUUGUAAUUGGAAUGAUGGUGAUGUACAACCUCACCAGAGUACCAAUUGGAGGGCAAGUCUGGUGCCAGCAGCCGCGGUAAUUCCAGCUCCAAUAGCGUAUAUUAAACUUGUUGCAGUUAAAAAGCUCGUAGUUGUAUUUCAGCCUCGCGUUUUUUCCCUCUUUUCGGGUCUUUUCGCUGGCUUUUUUUUUACUUUGAGAAAAUUAGAGUGUUUCAAGCAGACUUUUGUCUUGAAUACUUCAGCAUGGAAUAAUAGAGUAGGACCUUGGUUCUAUUUUGUUGGUUUCGAGCCUUGGUAAUGGUUAAUAGGAACGGUUGGGGG